GGAAUAUUGGACACUGGGGGAAACCCUGAUCCAGCCAUGCCGCGUGAGUGAAGAAGGCCUUAGGGUUGUAAAGCUCUUUCACCUGCGACGAUGAUGACGGUAGCAGGAGAAGAAGCCCCGGCUAACUCCGUGCCAGCAGCCGCGGUAAUACGGAGGGGGCUAGCGUUGUUCGGAAUCACUGGGCGUAAAGCGCGCGUAGGCGGCGGAUCAAGUUAGGCGUGAAAGGCCUGGGCUCAACCUGGGAACUGCG
rnacentral:rRNA from 1 species